rnacentral:sRNA from 1 species
UGACACCUUUGAUUUCCGCGCAAUCAG